GCGCCGGCAUCCAGCUUAGACAACAAGCUGGUGAUAGAUACCUUUCCUACAAAUUCCCCUCCAACAUUCCUGGAUGGAAAAGCCAUUGGUUCUACAUCGGAAACCAUGUCCCCCAGCUUCCUAAAAGAUCCGGUAAACCUCCUGUCAUGAGGCUAGAGUGGAACACCGAACUCUCCAGAGGGGACAUAGAUCAAGUCGACGAGUUGCUAGCCGUCAUAGCAGCCCAUAAGGAAAUAGAAGUGACUGGCGCGUCCGUAAUGUUUUCCUUCUUCAAACGCUGAAUCUAGCCAAUCCAACAGCGCCAUACGCUAGGCUUUAAGUACAUGGGCGCUGAGGAUCCAUCUUGAAUAUGCGUAGAGGAGCUGACUGAUGAUGCCGCGCUCAUCCGGGUCAAGCGAGUACUGCUGGAUGUGAACGCAGUUCCCUAUGUCCCAGAGUUGUUUUUUGCGCAAAAUACUCCAAAGCUGGGACACAUAGAGUUGUACCGGAGUUAUCCACCACAUCCCAAUAUCCCCCGACCGGACCACCUUCUUCCCAGUGCCGUGGCAGAAGCAAAAAAAGCUUAAGCAUCCGAAGCUCUACCCAGUGAUGCAACGAUUGAGAGCGAGAGCCCACUGGCGGAGAGAGCGGCUGAAGGGAAGGCGAAGAAGAACAACUCCCCCAGAUCAUCCGUGGAGUUGGCCGAAGCUUUGCCAUUGGUCCCUCGGGGUCGUCGGGUAGUGCGCAAACGUAAAGUGCAUGUAGUCAAACCCCCCAGUCCCUCGGCUUCUCCACCCAACCCCAAGUGCCAAAAGGUGACUGGGACCAAAUUUGCUAGGGAUGAUGUUCCAGCAGAUGGCGCAGCAGAAACUGCUGGGACGGACCCAUCGACUACUUCAGCAGAGAUGGUAACCAUUGUCCUGUUCUUUUCGACUUCUUUAAUGAUAAAACUGAUUCUGCUUCAUUAGGUCUGUGUCUGCCCUGGGGUUUAAGCCAAAGCCUGACUCGGAUACUCCAGCCCCCCGAGCCGCCAGCCCCUGAGGAGGAGACGACACUGCCCGACUCACCACCCCCCGAGCCCCAGCAACCCAAAGCCGACGCUGGUGGUGAAGAACAAGUCGAGGCGACUGAUGCCACUCCUGCAGAUGGCACAAGUGGCCCACAACUAAGAACAGAAGAAGCUGCAGGUACCAUAAGAAACCCUAAAGAUCUUCUGGAAGUAUCGCAUGUUGUUGACCAUCAGGAAUGGAUCAUCCACUAGAUCUGUGGUGAUGAUGUGGCCAAACUCUCCCAACAAAAAUCCGAAAAGCUAAAAGCAGUGGUGAGUGGCCUCCAGGAACUUCAAGCAAAAGAUCAAGCAUAUCAGAAGAAUAGCAGAAGAACAUAUAUCUUCAAAGAGAGCUCAACAAGCUGAAGCUGGAGCGGAUGCGAGAAACAUGGCUCCUCAAGAACAAUCUCCGCAAUCUUGAGAAGGCCAACUCCGAGCUCCAAGAACAGCUC